rnacentral:rRNA from 1 species
UACAGAGGGUGCGAGCGUUAAUCGGAAUUACUGGGCGUAAAGGGCGCGUAGGUGGUUAAUUAAGUCAGAAUGUGAAAUCCCUGGGCUCAACCUAGGAAUGGCAUAUGAAACUGAUUAGCUAGAGUCCGGAAGAGGAGAAUGGAAUCCUGGUGUAGCGGUGAAAUGCGCAGAUAUCAGGAGGAACACCAAUGGCGAAGGCAGCUCGCUGGAACGGUACUGACGCUGAGACGCGAAAGCGUGGGGAGCAAACAGG